rnacentral:rRNA from 1 species
CCUACGGGAGGCUGCAGUGGGGAAUAUUGGACAAUGGGCGAAAGCCUGAUCCAGCCAUGCCGCGUGUGUGAAGAAGGCCUUCGGGUUGUAAAGCACUUUCAGUUGGGAAGAAAGCCUUGGGGCUAAUACCCUCGAGGAAGGACAUCACCCACAGAAGAAGCACCGGCUAACUCCGUGCCAGCAGCCGCGGUAAUACGGAGGGUGCGAGCGUUAAUCGGAAUUACUGGGCGUAAAGCGCGCGUAGGCGGUCUGAUAAGCCGGUUGUGAAAGCCCCGGGCUCAACCUGGGAACGGCAUUCGGAACUGCCAGGCUAGAGUGCAGGAGAGGAAGGUAGAAUUCCCGGUGUAGCGGUGAAAUGCGUAGAGAUCGGGAGGAAUACCAGUGGCGAAGGCGGCCUUCUGGACUGACACUGACGCUGAGGUGCGAAAGCGUGGGUAGCAAACAGGAUUAGAUACCCGUGUAGUC